rnacentral:rRNA from 1 species
AGUGAACGCUGGCGGCAGGCCUAACACAUGCAAGUCGAGCGGAUGAAGGGAGCUUGCUCCUGGAUUCAGCGGCGGACGGGUGAGUAAUGCCUAGGAAUCUGCCUGUUUGUGGGGGAUAACGUCCGGAAACGGGCGCUAAUACCGCAUACGUCCUGAGGGAGAAAGUGGGGGAUCUGCGGACCUCACGCUAUCAGAUGAGCCUAGGUCGGAUUAGCUAGUUGGUGGGGUAAAGGCCUACCAAGGCGACGAUCCGUAACUGGUCUGAGAGGAUGAUCAGUCACACUGGAACUGGAACACGGUCCAGACUCCUACGGGAGGCAGCAGUGGGGAAUAUUGGACAAUGGGCGAAAGCCUGAUCCAGCCAAGCCGCGUGUGUGAAGAAGGUCUUCGGAUUGUAAAGCACUUUUAGUUGGGAGGAAGGGCAGUAAGUUAAUACCUUGCUGUUUUGACGUUAACCACAGAAUAAGCCCCGGCUAACUUCGUG